UGUUGCUUCCUCAUUCUGUGGAGGAUUUAUGUCUUGGAGAAGCUGAAUCCUUCCUCAUUCUGUGUUUGCUGAAGAAGUUGAGACAGACCUCCAGCAGGGAUGGCCGACGGUGUCGAUGAUGCUCCCCGGGAUGGAGGCAGCUUGGCGGGCAGCGAAGAAUGCCUGGUGACCUACAGAAACCCUGGUGAACCGAGAGGAGGUUCCAACAGUCGGGCCCUGAAGAUCGCCGGCCUCACCACGCUGGCCUGUCUGCUGUUGGCCAGCCAGGUCUUCACAGCCUACAUGGUGUUUGACCAGAAASAGCAGAUCCACAACCUGCAGAAGAACUCGGAGAGGAUGGGGAAACAGCUGACACGCUCGUCUCACGCCGUGGCCCCGGCAAGGAUGGCCAUCCCCAUGAGCAGCCUGCCUCUGCUGACAGAGUUCACUGAAGAGGACACCAAAAAAUCUGAGACACCCAUGACUAAGCUGCAGGACAUUGCUGUCGUCAGCGUGGAGAAACAGCUGAUGGAUCUCAUGAAGGACUUCAGCGUGCCGCAGUUCAACCAGACCUUCCUGGCCAACAUGCAGAGCCUGAAGCAGCGGAUGAACGACAGCGAGUGGCAGGGCUUUGAGUCGUGGAUGCGCCAUUGGCUGAUCUUCCAGAUGGCCCAGCAGCCGCCAGCAUCCUCCAUCUCUCAGCCAGCCUCUCUGAUCAAGACCAAAUGCCAGAUGGAGGCGUCGCCCACAUCCCGCAAGAUCGGUACCUACAAGCCGCAGUGUGACGAGCAGGGCCACUACCUGCCCAUGCAGUGCUGGAGCGGCACCGGAUACUGCUGGUGUGUGGACGAGUUUGGCAACCCCAUCCAGGGCAGCCAGAUCCGCGGCCGCCCCGACUGCCGCAGAGGUGCAGUUUAGGUGCAGCAGCAGCAGCACGACCCAGCCUCAUGCAGACAACUUAUCUUGAGGAUGAAAAAAACUUAUCGGAUGAAGCAGACCACACAGCAAGUCAUUUCUUCUUCCUGCCCAAUGUCUGGAGACGUGUGGAAUUGAUUAAAUUAAAUUUGAUGCUGAUCGCCGAACUUUGGCACUUUUAACUUUUAAUGCACUUAGAUGUAAUCAGUUCAUCUUCUUCCUGCUAGCUGCUUCAAAUCCAAUCAGAGGAGGCUUGAUGCACAUCUGCUUUUAAUGUGGUUAAUUUGGGUCUUUUUUAUUAUUACUGAUUUAAUUUGGGUGUUUUCAUUUAAAUAGCAUUCAGUACAAUAAACUAUGUGUUUCAUGUGUUUAAAUGGUCAGUUCAUCUUAAUUAGAAACAAACUGGAUGUGUUUCCAGUUACACCUGUCUGGAUUUGAGUGUUUUUGUUUUUUGGUCAGUUCAACAUGAAGGGAAGUUAAAAUAAUAAAAAGCUUAUUUAGGAAUAGAAAUCAGCUGUAGCUGUUCACAUAAUGGGUUAUUUAGAUUAAAGGGGAUUCUACUUCUGAGUAUAGUUCUCAUAUUUGGAUGAACUGACCUUUAUUUUUUUAAAGGAUGUAGACAUGAGAGUAAGAGACUCUUCUAUCAAUUUGUAUGUACGAAGAAGGUAAAAUAAAGUAUUCUCUACAACACCUGA